ensembl:lncRNA
UUACUUUUCUAGUAAAAAAUUCUUUAAUCUUUUUUUUUUUGUCUGGGAAAGUCUGUUUCUCCUUCAUGUUUGAAGGACAUUUUCACUGGAUAGACUAUUCUGGGGUAAAAGUUAUUUUCUUUUAGUGCUUUAAAUAUGUCAUGCCACUCUAUCCUGGCCUGUAAGGUUUCCACUGAAAAGUCUGCUGUCAGACAUAUUGCAGCACCAUUGUAUGUUAUUUUUUUCUUUGCUCUUGCUGCUUUUAGAACCCUUUCUUUAUCCUUUACCUUUGGAAGUUUGAUUACUAAAUGCCUUGAGGUAGUCUUCUUUGGGUUUAUUCUGCUCGGUGUUCUAUAACCUUGUACAUGGAUAUUGAUAUCUUUCUCUAGGUUUGGGAAUUUCUCUGUUAUUAUCAUUUUAAAGAAACUUUCCACCCCUGUCUCUUUCUCUACUUCCUCUUUCAGUCCAAUACCUCUUAGAUUUGCCCUUUUGAGGCUAUUUUUUAGAACCUGUAGGCAAACUUCAUUGUUUUUCAUUAUUUUUUCUUUUGUCUCCUCUAACUGUGUGUUUUCAGAUAGCCUGUCUUCAAGCUCACUAUUUUUUCUGCUUGAUCCAUUUUGCUAAUAAAGGAAUCAGAAGCAGUUUUCAGUAUGCCAAUUGCAUUUUUCUGAUCUAGAAUUUAUGAUUGAUUCUAUUUAAUUAUUUCUAUCUCUUUGUUAAAUUUAUGUGAUGGAAUUCUGAAUUCCUUCUGUAUGUAAUAUUGAAUUUCUUUGAGUUUCCUCAACACAGCUAUUUUGAAAUCUCUGUCUAAAAGGUGCCAUAUCUCUGUUUGUCCAAGAUUGGUCCCUAGCAGCUUAUUGAGUUCAUUUGGUGAGGUCAUGCUUUCCUGGGUGAUGUUGAUGCUAGUAGAUGUUCUUUGGUGUCUGAGCAUUGAUGUUAGGUAUUUAUUGUAGCCUUCUCUAUAUAGGCUUAUUUGUAGCUAUCUUUCUUGGGAAGGCUUUUCAGAUAUUCGAAAGAACUUGGGUGUUAUUAUGUAAGGUGUAUCUUUAGGGAGCACCGCAAGCCUAGUAAAGUUGUAGUUCUUGCUGACUUGUGGAAGCACCACCCUGAUGGUUUAGGAGAUCCAGAAGAAUUCCCUGGAAUAUCAGAGACUCUUGUUCUCUUCUGUUACUUUCUCCCAAACAUACAGAGUCUCUCUUUCUGUUCUGAGCCACCUAAAGCUGAGGAUGGAGUGACACAAGCACCCCCGUGGCCACCAGUACUAUGACUGUGCUGGGUCAGACUUGAUGGAAAUAUCAGUCAGAUCUGUGUUCUUCCCUUCAGGGCUGUGAGGUCACCCAGGCUCUCGUUAGAUUCAGAAGUGCUAGCCAGGAGUCAUGGACUAUAGUCAAAAUCCAUACAAGUAAGUCUACCUGGUGUUCUAUUGUGUUGCAGCCAAGCUGGCACUGAAACCACAAGACGCAGUGCUUCACACGCUUCCCUUCCUUUUCCAAAGGCAGAAGAGCUUUACCCCGUAGCCACUGUGCUACCCCAGGUCACAGGGCUACUGCCAGCCUACCACUGAUAUUCUUUUAAACUCCAAAGGCUCUCAAGUCAGCUUGUCUUGAAUGCUGCCUGGCCUGGGACUCACCCUUCAGGACAGUGGACUCCUCUUUGGCCCACACUGGCCAGAAAUGCCAUCCAAGGGUCAAGUCCUGGAAUUGGGGACCCCAAGUGCCCACUUGGCACUCUACCCCUCUGUGGUUGUGCUGGCACCUAAGGUGCAAACAACAACAACAACAACAACAACACAACUUUUACUUUUUUUUUUUCUGCUUUUCUCAAGUAGAAGGAGUUUUUCUCAUAGCCACCACAGCUAGUGAUGUGUGGGUCUUACCUGAAGCCAGCAAGUCUCAGAGGCUCACCCAAGGCCCUCGAUGUAAUACCUGGGUAUGGCUACUGCUUAUUCAGCACCCAAGGACCCUUCAGUUAGUAGGUCAUUAAUGCUGCCAGGACUGGGUCCUUUCCUUCAUGGCAGUGGGUUCCCUUCUGGCCAGAGUGUGUCUACAAAUGUUAUCUAGGAGCUAGGGCCUGGAAUGGGGGCCUCAUGACUCUGACUGAUACCCUCUCCUGCUUUGGCUGAGCUGGUAUCCUAGAUGCAAGACAAAGCCCUCCCCACUCUCCCCUCUCUUCUCCUCAAGCAGAAGGCAGAGAUCUGUUUGGAGCCAUGAGCUGUGCAGCCUGGGGUUAGGGGAGGGGUGAUGCCAGCACUCCCUUGGCUGCCCAAGCUGGUGUGUCACAUGUCCCCUCAGUCCAGUCUCUCUGGGCCUAGUUCAGCACUGGGACUCACCUAAGAGUUGCCGUCCUUAUGGCCUAGACUACCUUUCAAGUUUACUUGGAGACACAGAGGGCUAUAGUCCUUAGUGGCGAGGUUUGUGGGCACUCAAGUUCAGACCAUUGCUAUUGGUAAUUCCCAUCUGGCUAGGGCUGGUUUAAACGCUCCCUUCAUGGGCUAGCAUCAGCUGAGUUUAGUCUGGUUUUCCUUUCUGCUCUAACAAGACAACAUUGAGUUCAAUGCCUUGCAUUGCCAUGUUCUCCCUCCCCUGGAGCACAGAGACCCUCACUGCACCACACCACUGCUGCCAUGGGUAGAGGAAGAGGGUGGCACUGGAGAUUUGGGGAUCUUUUUCCUAUCUCUUCAGUGCCUCUUUCAGCUAUGUGAAGUUAAAACCAGAUACUGUGAAUGUUCACCUGAGUUUGGGUUCUUAUGAAAUUGUUGUUAACUUGGUGUCCUUGCAGCGGGGAUAAUCAGUGGAGUUUGCUAUUUUGCCAUCUUGUUCUGCCUCUCCUUAGGCAUAUUUCUGUAUCAUCGAAUACUCAAGCUUUUAGUAGAAAAAUGUUGGGAAAAAAUUGGAGGAAUUGAUGAAGUAUCCUUAAUUUAAGUAGGCCUAACAAAUGUCUGAUUCAUGGAACAUGUUUUAUUGUAAAAUUAUGUCCCAUAUAAACGGAGUCUAAAACAUUAAUAUUUUACAAACAGUAUUGGUAUGGUAGUGAGAUCUCUAUUGUUUAAAAGUUACUCAUUUUCCUCAAGAGUAAAAAGUAUUAAAUGACUUAUCCAUAAGAAUGUAGACUGUGUUUGGGUAAUGAAGACUCCACCCUUAUGAAUGGAUUAAUGCCAUUCUGAAAGGACUUGAUUCUCCCAGCCUUUAGAAAUGGAAGAAACACAUUUCUGAUUAUUAUAAAUUACCUUGUCUCAGGUAUUUUCUUAUAGCAGUACAAAUGACCUGAGACAGGGGAAGAACCCAAGCAGGGUGUGUCCCAGAUUUCAUAUCAGUUCAAGGUUAACAAUGUAGUGAGAGUAUGGCCAAUCUGGAGUAAGGUCUCAGUUACAGCUAAAUCUAUGCAAGUCCUGCCCCUACAGACCGUGCAAUUGAGUCAUCAACCACACCCUGCUGGUGUUAUUUUGGAAAAUUUUUGAGAACUGAGGCCAAGAGUAUUUAGAGGUAUAGUCAAAUAUGAACUAAUUGUUUCUCCUUGGGAGGAGUUUGUUCCAUGGAUUAAGGGAGAAACAGCAAAGAAGGAAUUUGCGAUAUGUAAAGUUUUUUGACCUGCAUACUCAAAAGAGUUUGUAAGCUUCAUGUUUCUCCUGCUGCUAACUCAAGUCAGAACCAGUGUAGUUAAUAAAUCAUGUCAUGCAUGUUCAUUCUAGCUUGUUCCACCAAAUGGGAAAAUGGAGACCGGGGAAAAGAUGGAAGUUUAUUUCCUGGUAACUGUGAUUAGAGGCAGCCAUAGCAGCCUUUAAUUAGAUUGCUUUCCUUGUCCUUUAUGUUUACCAGGAGCGUCAGUCACCUGUAGAUUAGGUGGAAGGGGAACAGAGGGUCUCAGUUAAUGCAGGUCAUUAAAAAGAAAAAAA